AGUCCCACUCCAAGCCAUCACCCUCCUUUAGCCCCAAGCCUUCACUCCUUUAACCUCCUAGCCUUCACUCCUUUAAUAUGGCUGCAUGAGAAAGAAAUAAUGAAUUCUAAGUAAACAAAAAGCAAGCUAGAAUUAUGCUACUUUCUCUCUUUAGUUGAUAGAGAUAGAAAUUCUUCUCUAUUUUAUCUCUUCACUUUCUGAGAGUCAGGUCUCUAUUUUUAUCGGCUUGCAAGUGUCCAUUGCUCCUUCCGAAUAGGGGAUGGCUCUCCUCCUCUAAGCUGGACGUGGGUUCCUUCCCUUAAAACCUACGGGGGGAUUGCGGAUAUUUUUGUGUUUUUUCCCCUUUUGGUGUAGAUCAACGAGUUUAGAGAGAGAUUUUUGUUGGAUUUACUUGAAUUGUGCCUAGGUAACUUGUUUGGGUGUUGCUUGUGUUCUUGCAGAAGAAGGAUUGGUCAUCUCAAGGUCCUUACUGACACCUAUUGGUGUCCUUUGACGCUAUAGCUAUAAGAGAAUGAGAGGCUGGGAGCUCUGCCCUAUGAAGCACUGAAACGAUAUUGGGUAGCGUUUUCCAGUGUCUGAAACAUUUCCAUAUCGGAAAUGAGAUGAUAUGGCUCUGAGACGUUUCCAUGCCAUUUCCAGAAAUACUACAAAUCAUAAACGCAUUUCUUUAAAAAAAAAGAAAGAAAAUAGGUAGGUUAAAAUCGCAAACAAAAAUCACGUCGCACUUCACAUUCACAACUCAUCACAUUCAACAGAAGACAUAGAAGAAGAAGAAGAAGAAGAAGAAGAGGAGGAGAAGAGGACCAAAGGACUUACUUGCAAUUGACGGCAGCAACAGCAAUAGCAACGGCAGUUAGCAGUCGGCAGUCAGUGCAGAUUUAAACUCAUUAGGCGUGGUUUAGAAGCAAUGGUUAUAAGUGAUCAAUGGGCAUAGUACCGAGAAGAUGACCAUGCCAAAAUUAGAUUUGUUCAUGACAAAGUGGUGGAUGAGGAUUGGUGGGAAAAAGAUUGAUUACAUCCUUGCUUUUACUAGACCCAUUUAUGACAUGAUUAUAGUUUGUGACACAGAUAAGCUAUGCCUUCAUUUGAUUUAUGAGUUGUGGGAUUUUAUGAUUGAAAAGGUAAAGAAUGUUAUUUUUAAUCAUGAAGGAAAGUAAGUAGAUGAGUUUUCAUCUUUCUAUAAUGUGGAUUAUCGAAUUCUUGUUGAUCGUUGGGUAAAGAGCAACAUUUUCCUUCAUUGUUUAGCUCAUUCAUUAAAUCCAAGAUUUUACAAUGAAAAAUGGCUUUAAAAAGGAGAGGGUAGAGCGACUCCUCAUAUGGAUGGAGAAAUAUAAACUAAAAGAAUUAAGUGUUUUAGGAUUAUUUUUUCUAAUAAAGAUGAACAAAUUAGAGCAAAUGAUGAAUUUGUAAAUUUUUCUUUGAAAAGCAAGUUUUUUGCAGAUCCUGAUUAUAUUGGAAGUAUGUAUGCUACAGAUCUUAGGAAGUGGCGGGCAUGUUUUGGUUUCAAUACAUCUUUAUUUCAAAUGUUGGCUUUUAAAGCGCUUGGACAACCUACUUCUUCUCAUAUUGUGAAAAAAAUUGGAGUACUUAUUCAUUCAUUCAUUAAUGUAGAAGGAACAAAAUAACUCCAGAAUGUGCAAAGGACUUGGGCUUUAUCCAUAAUAAUCUUCGUCAUCUAUCAAGAAACUCCUCCCAAUAUUAUGAUGAGAAGACAAAAUUGUGGGAUGAUGGUGGGGAUCAAUUUGGGAGUAUGAAAGAUGUGAGACUUCUUGAGUUUGUCAACUUUUCAAUUGAUGAACAAGAGUUAAGUUUUUUUUUUUUAAUGAAAAUGCAACUACAAACAUGAAGAAGGAAAAAGAUAAUGAAAUAGAGAAAAUGUCAUAAAUUUCACUAUUUUUUUCAUUUUUAAUGUUUGAAUGUGUUGUAGUUUAUAUUUUUUCUUACGAGCAUGAAACUUUUAGAUAUGUAUCUUUCUAAUUGAAUUUGAAUGUUGAUUUGGAGUCUAUUUAUUGUUGAACAUCUUUCAUAAUUUGGAGAUAUAUAUAUACCU